rnacentral:rRNA from 1 species
UACGUAGGGGGCAAGCGUUUGUCCGGAUUUAUUGGGCGUAAAGAGCGUGUAGGCGGCCUGACAGGUCUGCUGUGAAAACUCGAGGCUCAACCUCGAGAUGUCGGCGGAAACCGUCUGGCUAGAGUCCGGAAGAGGAGAGUGGAAUUCCUGGUGUAGCGGUGAAAUGCGCAGAUAUCAGGAAGAACACCGUGGCGAAGGCGGCUCUCUGGGACGGUACUGACGCUGAGACGCGAAAAGCGUGGGGGAGCAAACAGG